GCAAGUCGAACGGAGUAUGACGCUGAUGAGCGGAGAGCUUGCUCAAAGCAAAUCUGUUGAUACUUAGUGGCGGACGGGUGAGUAACGCGUGGGUAACCUGCCAUGUACAGGGGGAUAACACUUAGAAAUAGGUGCUAAUACCGCAUAAGCCUACAGGAUCGCAUGAUCCAGUAAGAAAAACUCCGGUGGUACAUGAUGGACCCGCGUCUGAUUAGCUAGUUGGUGAGGUAGUAGCUCACCAAGGCGACGAUCAGUAGCCGGCCUGAGAGGGUGAACGGCCACAUUGGGACUGAGACACGGCCCAAACUCCUACGGGAGGCAGCAGUGGGGAAUAUUGCACAAUGGGGGAAACCCUGAUGCCAGCGACGCCGCGUGAGUGAAGAAGUAUUUCGGUAUGUAAAGCUCUAUCAGCAGGGAAGAAAAUGACGGUACCUGACUAAGAAGCCCCGGCUAACUACGUGCCAGCCGCCGC
rnacentral:rRNA from 1 species